rnacentral:lncRNA from 10 species
CGCCCUGCCCCGUGAACCCUCUCCGCUGCCGCCUCCCCUCGCCCACCUCGACGGCCAUGUUCGUGGGUGGGGAGAGGCCAGCCCGACCCUCGGACGGCGGGACUCGCGGGCUACUUUAGGAGGAAGAGCAAGCUCCAUAACAGACAGAAGUUUAAAUUGUCAUUCCCAACUGCUAAUCAGGAAGCGGAAGUUAAACUCUUAGCAAAAUGGCAGCACCUGGAAAGACAAAUGGAGCCAAACUACCUGGGUUCAAGUUACCAAUGAUCCUGAUCUGCCCAAGGCUGAGGAGUUUCCCAGGAUAUGGGACUUUCACUGCUAAAACCAGGAUAGUCCCAUGCAAAGCAGCAUGGCUGAUCACCCUACUUGCUGCCAUGAGACUACCACCAUCCUCGAGGAUGAUAGAUCCCAAGGAGAGAGUGACCCAGUCAACAUCCAGCCCCAUCAGCAUGUGACUUAUCCAGCCCCAGUCCAGUCACCAGAUAAUAGCAAAUGCAUGAGUUAAUUCAGGUGAGACCAUCAGAACGAUCUAGCUGAACUUGUCUCAAAUUGCUGUCCUCUGUUGGAGUUUUUCUGCACAUAAAAAAUAAAAUUGCUGUCCUACAUAACUGUAAAC